AACCUGGUUGAUCCUGCCAGUAGUCAUAUGCUUGUCUCAAAGAUUAAGCCAUGCAUGUCUAAGUGUAAAUAAGUCUAUACUGUGGAACUGCGAAUGGCUCAUUAAAUCAGUUAUCGUUUAUUUGAUGAUCUCUUAUUACUUGGAUAACCGUAGUAAUUCUAGAGCUAAUACAUGCACACAAUCCCGACUUCUGGAAGGGAUGUAUUUAUUAGAUACAAAACCAAUGCGCUUCGGCGGUGAUUGGUGAUUCAUAAUAACUUUGCGAAUCGUAUGACCUCGUGUCGACGAUGAAUCAUUCUAAUUUCUGCCCUAUCAACUUUCGAUGGCAGGAUAGAGGCCUACCAUGGUGGUAACGGGUAACGGAGAAUUAGGGUUCGAUUCCGGAGAGGGAGCCCUGAGAGACGGCUACCACAUCCA
rnacentral:rRNA from 1 species